rnacentral:rRNA from 1 species
AAGCUCGUAGUUGAAUUUCGGGAUCAAUGGGUCGGUCAUGCCCUCGGUAUGUACUGAUUUCAUUGGUUCUCACCUUCUAAGGAACCAUGAUGUCAUUUAUUUGGUGUUGUGGGAAAUUAGGACUGUUACCUUGAAAAAAUUAGAGUGUUUAAAGCAGGCUAACGCUUGAAUACAUUAGCAUGGAAUAAUGAAAUAGGACAUCCGAUUCUAUUUUGUUGGUUUCUAGGAUCGAUGUAAUGAUUAAUAGGGAUAGUUGGGGGCAUUAGUAUUCAAUUGUCAGAGGUGAAAUUCUUGGAUUUAUUGAAGACUAACUACUGCGAAAGCAUUUGCCAAGGAUGUUUUCAUUAAUCAAGAACGAAAGUUAGGGGAUCGAAGACGAUCAGAUACCGUCGUAGUCUUAACCAUAAACUAUGCCGACUAGGGAUCGGAUGAUGCUUAUUUUUUAAUGACUCAUUCGGCACCUUACGGGAAACCAAAGUGUUUGGGUUCCGGGGGGAGUAUGGUCGCAAGGCUGAAACUUAAAGGAAUUGACGGAAGGGCACCACCAGGGGUGGAGCCUGCGGCUUAAUUUGACUCAACACGGGGAAA